GUUUUUUUUUUUUGUUUUUUUUUAAUCUCAUUCAAUAUUUUUAACUCAAAAUUCAGCAAUUAAUUCAUUUCAGUGCAUACAUUCAGAUUCAAGCAUUCACACUGCAGUUUCUUCAGAAAAUGCACUUUCUAGUUAGUUUUAGUUUUAGCUGUGGGUGGCGCUGUAUGUUGCCACCACUUCCAGCCACCUGAAUCUGCUGGGUUGGUUGCUUGAGAAGGGGACACAUCCUGGGAAACCAGUGGGACUUCGUCCCUACUGACUGUGGUGCCAAUCAACAGCACACCAAGACACCGGAAAGUGUCUCAUCCAAGCAGCUGCAGAGAGCAGCCAAACCCUCAGCCUUGAACUCUUUAUCACCAAAAGCAUUUUGAGCUUGGCUUCUCGGGACCCUGGAGGCUGUAAACCUUUGAAAAUUGCAGUUCAGCAUGGUCACAAGGACUGUGCGCUCUUUGCAGCUGACAAGCUGGGCUCACUUGUAUUUCUUAGAAAUAUGUGCCUUCCCAUAGCAUCCAAACACUUGCUGCAGUUGGGGCAAAACAAAGCAGCCUGCAAUCGAUCCCAGCACACUGCUGCUGCCUGCAGAGCCAUGCUAGGGAGUAAAUUAUUGGUAGAUGGCUUCAACCACCCAGGGAGCCUAAGACCAAACUAAGAACUGAAACAGAGACUUUACCCCCAGGCUUAGUGAGGCUGCCACCCUGUGUCUCUGCCUUUUAUUAAAAAGAAGGACAGAAAGAUUGAAGUCACGGAUAUAAAGUUAUCCUGUAGAGCUGAAAAUGUGUUUGUGAAUGCAACAUAUUAUGAGACAAAAGUCCAAGUCAGGACUGGCCUUGAAUCAGGGAUGACACAACUCAACAUGUCACCAUUGCACAGUUUUGUAACACACUUACAGUAACGGUUAAAGACAGUAGUUGCCAUUUUUUUUAAAAGGAAGCAGCUGUAAAAUAGUUUUAGGCAACAAGGCUAUGUAACUGAAGGUGCUGUAUAUAACUGCAGUUGGACAACCCAUCAGUACUUUACUUUAAGGCUGGAGACUGCAUUGAUAUGGCUGUCACAGGGUUUCUAUUAAGAGCAAAUUUAGCAUAUCGCUGUUCACAUAAAUCAACUAAGAAAAACAACUACUGGGUGUCUUCUGAGUCACAAUGAAAUUUAAGAAUGUAGUCUGUUUGAUUUCAUUUCUUUUAAUGAAAGUGAAACACACUCAAAGACAAAAAAAACCACACUUUUUGAUCAAGGAUACAGAAUUGAAAUCAUAUUUUCAAAGGUUAUAGCUAAAGUGUAGUUCUGGUCAUUAAAAAAAAGAGGAUUUUAAAUGGGAAUAUAAAAACACCUUGAUUUUGGGGGGAAAAAGUAAAUGUUUUGUAAAACUGAGCAGCUGAAGAUGGGUGCUUCACAAACCACCACAGGCUCAGCUGCAGGAGCUCCGUGUUGUCAUUGAUGAGCUGAGUACCAGUUGAUACACUUACCCACAAAAGAGGGGCACACAGGUAGAGUGCAAAUACGUAGAUCAUUCUGCUAAAGUGGUGUGACAUUUAUACCUCUGGCUGCAUGUCUCUUGUGAAACACGCACUGUUAGAAUUAAAAAGUAUCCACUAUGAGGUCAUUCAAUGGAAAUGUCUGUUUUUCUGUCCCUUAAAGAAAUAUUACACUUAAAAAAAUGGUAAAUGGUAAAUGGCCUGUAUUUAUAUAGCGCUUUACUAGUCCCUAAGGACCCCAAAGCGCUUUACAUAUCCAGUCAUCCACCCAUUCACACACACAUUCACAAAUGCUUCAAAGUUACAAAUUAUUUAUUUCCUAAAAUGAAACAAUGUUAUUUGAACAAGUACACCUUCCAUCACUUUGACAGUAUUGGUUAUUAAAUUAGUUAUACAUCAAUUCAAGCACAAUAUGAGUGCUUGUGGCCACAGCUUUGCUUUUAUGUUAAAAAUAUUUUUUUUACCAUUUAAAAUGCAAUAUUUUUUUUAAAUAAAUAUGACUGACACCAUGUGGUUUGAUGCCCUGUAGCAGCCAUUUUGUAAAAGGCAUUUUUCAUGAAAAUUGUCACUGGCAUGUUCCCUUACAUAACACUAGAGCCCUUACUUAAUAACUGGAUCUUGGUAACACCAGUGACUUUAUUUGACUGUGCAAAUAAACUUGAUCAAAAGCUGUUCAUGCAGUUCUUUCAAGCAUCAAUGGUUCUUAAAGUACUGUAUACCGCAGCUGUGUGCCAUAUGUGUCCCCAGAUGUGUGUCACUGGUGUUACUGUGUGUUUUCCCCCGGCACAUUAAACACAAUAAAUUGAUAAUUUUACAUCUAUCAAUUUUUUUUAGACUUCAGGGUUAAGAUCAAAAGGAGUCCAUCAUUACUCAUUUUUAACUCUUGUUCUAAUAAUUUCAUUGUUGUAGCAAAUAAAUGUCACACUUUUAACAAAGCUGAUUGAAAAUGGUAAUCUCAUCCGGAUUUGUUGCGUUCCUCUUCUUCUGUGACUAAAUGUGCUGAGAGAUUGAAGAAGUAAUAUUUCCUGAGGUUUUAAAUGCCUUUCAUCGUACUCCUGUUGAAGCAUGUAAAUUAUGUAGAAAGUGUUGUUGGUGAAAGUGAAGUGUCAUUUUUUCUUAUUUAACUGUUUUCAAGACACUUUUGUUGCUUUUUGCUUUCUUUAUUUCUUUCUCUUUUUUAAAUAAAGCAAGCAAUUGAUCAGAGUUGCCGAAGGAGUAAGGUAAAUGUACAAAAAUUAUUUAAAAAAUCAUUAAAUCAUUAAAAUCAUU
ensembl:lncRNA